GACGAAUGCUGGCGGCGUGCCUAAUACAUGCAAGUAGGACUCAGUUGCGCACGGGUGAGUAACGCGUAGGUAACUGCCUAUUAGAGUGGGCUUACUAUUGGACAUGAUAGCUAAUACCGCAUACUAGUACAUGGACCUGCGAUGUAUUAGGUAGUAGGUAGCGUAAUGGCCUCCCGAGGCUACGAUACAUAGCCGAGCUGAGAGGGUGACCGGCCCAACUGGGACUGAGACACGGGCCAGACGCCUACGGGCGGCAGCAGUAGGGAAACUUCGGCAAUGGGGGGAAACCUGACCGAGCAACGGCGCGUGAGUGAAGAAGGUUUUCGGAUCGUAAAGCUCUGUUGUUAAGGAAGCGGGAAUUGACGAGAAAGGGACGGCUAACUCCGUGCCAGCAGCCGCGGUAAUUC
rnacentral:rRNA from 1 species